rnacentral:rRNA from 1 species
AGAGUUUGAUCCUGGCUCAGGACGAACGCUGGCGGCGUGCCUAAUACAUGCAAGUCGAACGAACUCUGGUAUUGAUUGGUGCUUGCAUCAUGAUUUACAUUUGAGUGAGUGGCGAACUGGUGAGUAACACGUGGGAAACCUGCCCAGAAGCGGGGGAUAACACCUGGAAACAGAUGCUAAUACCGCAUAACAACUUGGACCGCAUGGUCCGAGNNNGAAAGAUGGCUUCGGCUAUCACUUUUGGAUGGUCCCGCGGCGUAUUAGCUAGAUGGUGGGGUAACGGCUCACCAUGGCAAUGAUACGUAGCCGACCUGAGAGGGUAAUCGGCCACAUUGGGACUGAGACACGGCCCAAACUCCUACGGGAGGCAGCAGUAGGGAAUCUUCCACAAUGGACGAAAGUCUGAUGGAGCAACGCCGCGUGAGUGAAGAAGGGUUUCGGCUCGUAAAACUCUGUUGUUAAAGAAGAACAUAUCUGAGAGUAACUGUUCAGGUAUUGACGGUAUUUAACCAGAAAGCCACGGCUAACUACGUGCCAGCAGCCGCGGUAAUACGUAGGUGGCAAGCGUUGUCCGGAUUUAUUGGGCGUAAAGCGAGCGCAGGCGGUUUUUUAAGUCUGAUGUGAAAGCCUUCGGCUCAACCGAAGAAGUGCAUCGGAAACUGGGAAACUUGAGUGCAGAAGAGGACAGUGGAACUCCAUGUGUAGCGGUGAAAUGCGUAGAUAUAUGGAAGAACACCAGUGGCGAAGGCGGCUGUCUGGUCUGUAACUGACGCUGAGGCUCGAAAGUAUGGGUAGCAAACAGGAUUAGAUACCCUGGUAGUCCAUACCGUAAACGAUGAAUGCUAAGUGUUGGAGGGUUUCCGCCCUUCAGUGCUGCAGCUAACGCAUUAAGCAUUCCGCCUGGGGAGUACGGCCGCAAGGCUGAAACUCAAAGGAAUUGACGGGGGCCCGCACAAGCGGUGGAGCAUGUGGUUUAAUUCGAAGCUACGCGAAGAACCUUACCAGGUCUUGACAUACUAUGCAAAUCUAAGAGAUUAGACGUUCCCUUCGGGGACAUGGAUACAGGUGGUGCAUGGUUGUCGUCAGCUCGUGUCGUGAGAUGUUGGGUUAAGUCCCGCAACGAGCGCAACCCUUAUUAUCAGUUGCCAGCAUUAAGUUGGGCACUCUGGUGAGACUGCCGGUGACAAACCGGAGGAAGGUGGGGAUGACGUCAAAUCAUCAUGCCCCUUAUGACCUGGGCUACACACGUGCUACAAUGGAUGGUACAACGAGUUGCGAACUCGCGAGAGUAAGCUAAUCUCUUAAAGCCAUUCUCAGUUCGGAUUGUAGGCUGCAACUCGCCUACAUGAAGUCGGAAUCGCUAGUAAUCGCGGAUCAGCAUGCCGCGGUGAAUACGUUCCCGGGCCUUGUACACACCGCCCGUCACACCAUGAGAGUUUGUAACACCCAAAGUCGGUGGGGUAACCUUUUAGGAACCAGCCGCCUAAGGUGGGACAGAUGAUUAGGGUGAAGUCGUAACAAGGUAGCCGUAGGAGAACCUGCGGCUG